rnacentral:rRNA from 1 species
UACGUAGGGCGCAAGCGUUGUCCGGAAUUAUUGGGCGUAAAGAGCUCGUAGGCGGCCUGUUGCGUCCGCUGUGAAAUCCCGGGGCUCAACCCCGGGCGUGCAGUGGAGUACGGGCUGGCUGGAGGCAGGCAGGGGAGAACGGAAUUCCCUGGUGUGAGCGGUGAAAUGCGCAGAUAUCAGGAGGAACACCGGUGGCGAAGGCGGUUCUCUGGGCCUGUACUGACGCUGGAGGAGCGAAAGCGUGGGGAGCGAACAGG